rnacentral:rRNA from 1 species
UACGUAGGCAGCAAGCGUUGUUCGGAGUUACUGGGCGUAAAGGGUGCGUAGGCGGCUAUUUAAGUUUGGUGUGAAAUCUCCCGGCUCAACCGGGAGGGUGCGCCGAAUACUGAGUGGCUAGAGUACGGGAGAGGAAAGUGGAAUUCCUGGUGUAGCGGUGAAAUGCGUAGAUAUCAGGAGGAACACCGGUGGUGUAAACGGCUUUCUGGACCGUAACUGACGCUGAGGAGCGAAAGCGUGGGGAGCGAACAGG